ACUCCUACGGGAGGCAGCAGUGGGGAAUAUUGCACAAUGGGGAACCGUAGCUGNCAGCCAUGCCGCGUGUGUGAAGAAGGCCUUCGGGUUGUAAAGCACUUUCAGUAGGGAGGAAGGUAUGUAGUUACACCUGCACNAUUUGACGUUACCUACAGAAGAAGCACCGGCUAACUCCGUGCCAGCAGCCGCGGUAAUACGGAGGGUGCGAGCGUUAAUCGGAAUUACUGGGCGUAAAGCGCAUGCAGGCGGCCUGUUAAGUCAGAUGUG
rnacentral:rRNA from 1 species